AGGGAGAAGGAGAAGCUAUUUUUGGCAAACCAAGAAAAGUUCCAUACUGAAGCUGAGAAGAAUUACUGGAAGCAGCUCAUUCCUAAAAAAGGAAAGAAAGAUCAAGAGAAAAGAAACCCUCCAUUGUUGUGAUCCAAGGGCCCAAGCCUGGAAAGCCAAAUGAUCUGUGAAGGAUGCGUCAAAUACUUCUUAAGCUUAAACAUAAUCCCCCUCCUUCCAUGAAGCCCAAACCACCACCAUCAGCAGAACGAGAAACAGAUGCCAAGGCUGCAGCUCCUAUAGCCACAGCUACUCUUAAUAAUGCUAUUUCCACUAAGGCUGCAGCAGCUCCUGAGGCUGUAGCAGCUGCUUGAGAAUGUUGAAUUAUGUAGUUGGGACUAAAAUAUUGGAAGCUGGCACCUGUUUUGAGCAUGUAUAUUAGGCAUAAAGCAAUUAUUGUGUAGAAAGGUUUUGUGCGAUUAUGCAUAGAAAGGCAUCUAGCAGUUGGUAGAAAGCUGUCACAUGAUUGAUAAUGUUGUACCAAUUUUUUUGGCUUUAGGUUGGGUGCGAUAUUUUGUGUGAACUUGCAAUUUGUUUCAACC
rnacentral:misc_RNA from 1 species